rnacentral:tRNA from 1 species
GGCACGGUAGCUCAGUCGGUAGAGCAAGGGACUGAAAAUCCCUGUGUCGGCGGUUCGAUUCCGUCCCGGGCCACCA